GUCGGGUUAGCGUAAUGGUUAACGCGCCAGUUUCCGGUUGUUAACCUCUAGCUGGAGAUUCUGGGUUCGAGUCCCAGGCUUGACG
rfam:Jaapia argillacea MTCL 33604 unplaced genomic scaffold JAAARscaffold_12, whole genome shotgun sequence.